AGGGGCAUAGCUCAGUGGUAGAGUACUGGUCUCCAAAACCAAGGACGAGGGUCCGAUUCCUUCUGCCCCUGCCA
rnacentral:tRNA from 1 species